GUUGAUACUGGGAAGAAGACAAUAGUAUGAGUUCUUCUACACAGGAUGCUACCACAGUGUGGCUUGAUGAGCGGUGCAUAGGUCCAUGCCCAGGAUCCAAACUGGCAAAUUCUGGGCCGCCAAAGCAGAACAUGCAAGCAUAACCACUUGGCCACAGGGCCAGCCCCACAAAACAUGGAUCUUUAUGAAGGUAUGAUGAGCAUCCAAAAUGACGUACAUGAACCUCAAAAAGUAAAAUAAUUUCAGUUAUUAAAUAUACAAAAAAAAAAAAUUCCUGAAGACAAAUGAAAAUGAAAACACAAUAUGCCAAAAUCUAUGGGAUACAGCAAAAGUGGUUCUAAGAGGGAAGUUUAUAGCAAUACAGGCC
rnacentral:lncRNA from 1 species